rnacentral:rRNA from 1 species
CCUACGGGUGGCAGCAGUGAGGAAUAUUGGUCAAUGGACGAGAGUCUGAACCAGCCAAGUCGCGUGAAGGAUGACUGCCCUAUGGGUUGUAAACUUCUUUUAUAUGGGAAUAAAAUGUUCCACGUGUGGGAUUUUGUAUGUACCAUAUGAAUAAGGAUCGGCUAACUCCGUGCCAGCAGCCGCGGUAAUACGGAGGAUCCGAGCGUUAUCCGGAUUUAUUGGGUUUAAAGGGAGCGUAGGUGGAUUGUUAAGUCAGUUGUGAAAGUUUGCGGCUCAACCGUAGAAUUGCAGUUGAAACUGGCAGUCUUGAGUGUAGUAGAGGUAGGCGGAAUUCGUGGUGUAGCGGUGAAAUGCUUAGAUAUCACGAAGAACUCCGAUUGCGAAGGCAGUUCACUGGACUGCAACUGACGCUGAGGCACGAAAGUGUGGGUAUCAAACAGGAUUAGAUACCCUUGUAGUC